AACGAGGUAUUGCCUCAGUACGGCGAAGUGAAGCGGCACAGCUCAAAUUUGAAAUCUGGCCCCAGGCCCGAGUUGUAAUUUGCAGAAGAUGCUUUUGGUGCGGUGCCUUCCAAGUUCCCUAGAACGGGACGCCAGAGAGGGUGAGAGCCCCGUACAGUUGGACACCAAGCCUUUGUAAAGCUCCUUCGACGAGUCGAGUAGUUUGGGAAUGCUGCUCAAAAUGGGAGGUAUAUUUCUUCUAAAGCUAAAUACCGGCCAGAGACCGAUAGCGCACAAGUAGAGUGAUCGAAAGAUGAAAAGCACUUUGAAAAGAGGGUUAAACAGCACGUGAAAUUGUUAAAAGGGAAGCGCUUGUGACCAGACUUGCGUCCGGUGAAUCACCCAGCUCUCGCGGCUGGGGCACUUCGCCGGCUCAGGCCAGCAUCAGCUCGCUGUCGGGGACAAAAGCUUCAGGAACGUAGCUCUCUUCGGGGAGUGUUAUAGCCUGUUGCACAAUACCCUUCGGCGGGCUGAGGUACGCGCUCCGCAAGGAUGCUGGCAUAAUGGUCAUCAGCGACCCGUCUGAAAA
rnacentral:rRNA from 1 species